CAGUCAAAGUUUAAGAUAACAUGACCAGCUCAAACAUGCUGAUUGCUACCUUUGGGAGGUUUGUGGUAGCAUGGAGAUGCUACCUUUGGAGAUGGAGGUGAGAUUAGUGAUAGGGAUGGAGGUAAGGAUAUCGAUGGGGAAGGAGGUGAGGAUUGUGAUGGGAUGGAGGUGAGGAUGGAGAUAGGGAUGGAGGUGAGGAUAGAGAUAGGGAUGGAGGUGAGGAUAGAGAUAGGGAUAGAGAUGAGGGUGGAGAUGGGGAUGGAGGUGAGGAUAGAGAUAGGGAUGGAGAUGAGGGUGGAGAUGGG
rnacentral:lncRNA from 1 species